AUCCUGUCGUGCAGUCGAAAGCGCGAUGAACUUCUAAUACAAAAGUCGUGGGUUCGAAUCCCACCUGGGAUG